GGCGAACGGGUGAGUAACACGUGGGUGAUCUGCCCUGCACUCUGGGAUAAGCCUGGGAAACUGGGUCUAAUACCGGAUAGGACCAUGCUUUAGUGUGUGUGGUGGAAAGUUUUUUCGGUGUAGGAUGUGCCCGCGGCCUAUCAGCUUGUUGGUGGGGUAAUGGCCUACCAAGGCGGCGACGGGUAGCCGGACUGAGAGGUUGGUCGGCCACAUUGGGACUGAGAUACGGCCCAG
rnacentral:rRNA from 1 species